UUGUCAAAAAUCCCAUAAACA
rnacentral:tRNA from 1 species